GCUCAGGACGAACGCUGGCGGCGUGCCUAAGCUUAUGCAAGUCGAACGCGAAAGGCUCCUUCGGGAGCCGAGUAGAGUGGCAGACGGGUGAGUAACGCGUGGGUAACGUGCCCCAAUCCUGGGAAUAACCCUCGGAAACGAGGGCUAAUACCGAAUGUGGCCCCCGAUCGGAUGAUCGGUGGCUAAAGGUGGCCUCUUCUAUGCUGCCGGGUUGGGAUCGGCCCGCGUCCCAUUAGCUAGUUGGUGAGGUAACGGCCCACCAAGGCAACGAUGGGUAGCCGGCCUGAGAGGGUGUCCGGCCACACUGGCACUGAGACAAGGGCCAGUCCCCUAUGGGAGGCGCAGGCGGGAAUAGUUCCCAAUGGGCGAAAGUCUGAGGACGCGACGCCGCGUGAGCGAAGAAGGCCUUCGGGUUGUAAAGCUCUGUCAGGAGGGAAGAAGGCGCUGGGUGUUAAUAGCACCAAGCGUUGACGGUACUUCCAGAGGAAGCCCCGGCUAAAUACGUGCCAGCAGCCGCGGUAAUACGUAUGGGGCAAGCGUUGUCCGGAUUAACUGGGCGUAAAGGGCACGCAGGCGGUUCGUUUAGUCGAAGGUGAAAUCCCUGGGCUCAACUCAGGAACUGCCUUCGAUACUGGCGAACUAGAGUGGCGUAGAGGAAAGCGGAACUCCUGGUGUAACGGUGGAAUGUGUAGAUAUCAGGAGGAACACCGGUGGCGAAGGCGGCUUUCUGGACGCACACUGACGCUCAGGUGCGAAAGCGUGGGUAGCAAACAGGAUUAGAUACCCUGGUAGUCCACGCCGUAAACGAUGGGUACUAGGUGUCGGGGGUAUCGAUCCCCUCGGUGCCGAAGUCAACGCAUUAAGUACCCCGCCUGGGGAGUAUGGUCGCAAGGCUGAAACUCAAAGGAAUUGACGGGUCCCCGCACAAGCGGUGGAGCAUGUGGUUUAAUUCGACGCAACGCGAAGAACCUUACCUGGGCUUGACAUGCAUUGGGACAGCCCGCUCGGAAACAGCGUCUCUCCUUCGGGAGUCCUUGCACAGGUGCUGCAUGGCCGUCGUCAGCUCGUGUCGUGAGAUGUCGGGUUAAGUCCCUCAACGAGCGCAACCCCUUCGUUACUAGUUGCCAUCAGUUCGGCUGGGCACUCUAGUGA
rnacentral:rRNA from 1 species